GUGAACGCUGGCGGUAGGCCUAACACAUGCAAGUCGAACGGCAGCACAGUAAGAGCUUGCUCUUACGGGUGGCGAGUGGCGGACGGGUGAGGAAUACAUCGGAAUCUACUUUUUCGUGGGGGAUAACGUAGGGAAACUUACGCUAAUACCGCAUACGACCUACGGGUGAAAGCAGGGGAUCUUCGGACCUUGCGCGAUUGAAUGAGCCGAUGUCGGAUUAGCUAGUUGGCGGGGUAAAGGCCCACCAAGGCGACGAUCCGUAGCUGGUCUGAGAGGAUGAUCAGCCACACUGGAACUGAGACACGGUCCAGACUCCUACGGGAGGCAGCAGUGGGGAAUAUUGGACAAUGGGCGCAAGCCUGAUCCAGCCAUACCGCGUGGGUGAAGAAGGCUUUCGGGUUGUAAAGCCCUUUUGUUGGGAAAGAAAAGCAGCAGGUUAAUACCCCGCUGUCCUGACGGUACCCAAAGAAUAAGCACCGGCUAACUUCGUG
rnacentral:rRNA from 1 species